UACGAAGGGUGCAAGCGUUACUCGGAAUUACUGGGCGUAAAGCGUGCGUAGGUGGUGGUUUAAGUCUGCUGUGAAAGCCCUGGGCUCAACCUGGGAAUUGCAGUGGAUACUGGGUCACUAGAGUGUGGUAGAGGGAUGCGGAAUUUCUGGUGUAGCAGUGAAAUGCGUAGAGAUCAGAAGGAACAUCCGUGGCGAAGGCGGCAUCCUGGGCCAACACUGACACUGAGGCACGAAAGCGUGGGGAGCAAACAGG
rnacentral:rRNA from 2 species